rnacentral:rRNA from 1 species
GAUGAACGUUGGCGACGUGCCUAACACAUGCAAGUCGAGCGGAGAAGAAGUGAGUGUACUUUUCGGAGUGGACUUUUUUCGGAUCAUCGGCCGACGGUUGAGUACUACAUGAUGAACCUUCCCUCUACAAGGGUAUAGCUGGUGCAAACUGCGAUUUAUACCCUCUUAGACCACGAUAGCGCAUGCUUUUGGGGUUAAAGAUUUAUCGGUAGUAUAUGGUCGCAUGGCCCAUUAGCUAGUUGGUGAUUUAACAGACCACCAAGGCGACGAUGGGUAGCCGGGUUGGGAGAGGGAAAGGUCACAUUGGAAAUAAGACACGGUCCAGGCUCGUAGGGGAGGGAGCAGUGGGGAAUAUUGCACAAUGGGGGAAAACCUGAUGCAGCGACGUCGCGUGAGAGAAGAAGGCGUUCGGGUAGUAAAGCUCUGUGCUAUGGGAAGAAAAGGACGGUACCAUAGAAGGAAGCCCCGGCUAACUACGUG